rnacentral:rRNA from 1 species
UGGCGAACGGGUGAGUAACGCGUGAGGAACCUGCCUCAAAGAGGGGGACAACAGUUGGAAACGACUGCUAAUACCGCAUAAGCCCACGGGUCGGCAUCGAUCUGAGGGAAAAGGAGUGAUCCGCUUUGAGAUGGCCUCGCGUCCGAUUAGCUAGUUGGUGAGGUAACGGCCCACCAAGGCGACGAUCGGUAGCCGGACUGAGAGGUUGAACGGCCACAUUGGGACUGAGACACGGUCCAA